AGCGAACGCUGGCGGCAGGCCUAACACAUGCAAGUCGAACGAACUCUUCGGAGUUAGUGGCGGACGGGUGAGUAACACGUGGGAACGUGCCUUUAGGUUCGGAAUAACUCAGGGAAACUUGUGCUAAUACCGAAUGUGCCCUUCGGGGGAAAGAUUUAUCGCCUUUAGAGCGGCCCGCGUCUGAUUAGCUAGUUGGUGAGGUAACGGCUCACCAAGGCGACGAUCAGUAGCUGGUCUGAGAGGAUGACCAGCCACACUGGAACUGAGACACGGGCCAGACUCCUACGGGAGGCAGCAGUGGGGAAUCUUGCGCAAUGGGCGAAAGCCUGACGCAUCCAUGCCGCGUGAAUGAUGAAGGUCUUAGGAUUGUAAAAUUCUUUCACCGGGAACGAUAAUGACGGUACCCGGAGAAGAAGCCCCGGCUAACUUCGUGCCAGCCGCCGCCGUAACAC
rnacentral:rRNA from 1 species